UGACUAUUUCAACAUGAGACGGGCCUGCCACAGCAAAACUGACUGGGUGGAUAAAAAAUGGAAGGAGGCCAUUAUGCAUCACCCAGUUAAGAAAGAUAGCAGUAGCUGUGGGGUCAUUGUGAUUAUGGUUAGUGAUGGAGGCCUUCCCAAAUAUGCCAAGCAUGGACUUCAAAACGACAAGAAAAGAAAUGGCACAAGAACGCACAAACAUAGCGUGUGAGAUAUUACACGCUUCUGUGUUCAACACAGACAGUAACUGUGCUAUGUGCUCAACCACAAAGCCACCAGGAUCAGGACCAGCCUUUACAGACUGGAUACAGUGUGAUGGCUGUUGCCGGUGGUAUCACGCACAGUGCCUUAAACUAGAUAAAGACACCCUUAAAAAAGCAGCAAGUGAAGACUGGAAUUGCUGUCUUUGUACAUAAUUCAUUAGCCAUGAAAAACUAACAGGAUGUAUCCUAUCUGUUUUACUGCAUUUCUCAUUUUUGCAUAAAGUUGUAUUUGUGUUCCACACAAAUGUUGCACUGAACUAUGCACCAAAGUCAAGUUCUUAAUCAUCAAAGUUGACUUUUUACAGUAUGACAUAGUACUUUCAAUUACUGCUAAAAGGUAAACUAUACAGUAAAAGUACGCAGGUCUUUGUGUGGUGAUAGUACACCUCUAGCAGAAUAAGGAGAAAGUGGUCUGGGCCUGGAACUAUGCACCAAAGUCAAGUUAUUAAUCAUCAAAAUUGACUAUAAUGCCAAUACGAUACUAUAAUAGGACAUGGUAGUUUUGAAUACUAAUAAAUCCUAAACUAUACAGUAACA
rnacentral:lncRNA from 1 species